UACGUAGGGUGCAAGCGUUAUCCGGAAUUAUUGGGCGUAAAGAGCUCGUAGGCGGUUUGUCGCGUCUGCUGUGAAAACUGGGGGCUCAACCCCCAGCCUGCAGUGGGUACGGGCAGACUAGAGUGCGGUAGGGGAGAUUGGAAUUCCUGGUGUAGCGGUGGAAUGCGCAGAUAUCAGGGGGAACACCGAUGGCGAAGGCAGAUCUCUGGGCCGUAACUGACGCUGAGGAGCGAAAGCAUGGGGAGCGAACAGG
rnacentral:rRNA from 1 species